AGCCAGAGACAUAUCACCCUGCAGCCCAAGACUGAUUACACACUGAAGCUAAGCAGGGCUGAGCCUAGUCAGUACCUGGAUGGGAGACCACAUGAGAAAACAAGGUUAAAAGUGGUGU
rnacentral:rRNA from 1 species